GAUCACUACCAUGUGGUCUCGGUGGAGAGGCCUCUUAACUAGUCAGUGGCAUGUGGGAAACUGCAUUCCCUUCUGAAAACCUUGAGCAACUUUGGUUAAAAGCCUCACUGUUUUUCUUUAAUAGCAGGCUUUUUUUCCCUCCACUUAAUGGCUCUUUUCUUUUCUCUGCCAAAUUCACUGCAUUGUUGAGGAAUCAGAAAGGAUCCCAUGAAAGGGAAGUGAUGAUAUUGAAGUGGUCCGCAGGGCCUUGUGCAGGUUCAGUCCACAACGCCACCUUCACUCAAAAUAGCACAGUUACCAUUUGCCUUUUUCCCACAUUAACUCAAGAAGAUUGUUUUACUGGGAACAAAAGAUCAAGACAGAAUUUGCCUAUCUCUCUCCUCCUCCUCUUCUUUUUUCUUUUUAAUUACCGAAGUCACAUUCUUGAUAAUCAGCAGGGUGAAAGACCUGAGCACCUAGCAUGGCUCUGAGACCAUCAUUAAGAUGCCUAUUUCUGUGGAGACCCACAUUUUCAUUCAAGUUCAGAAGAGAGAAGGAGAGUAACAUGCUUCUCAGAAGCCUCUGGCAAAUGUUCUCUUACAUUAUUAUGGUUUCACUGAUAUAAAAUAUGUCCUAUGACUUUCCUACCUGUAAAGAAGUUCACGAAAGCACAUCUGAAUGCUCUGCUUACUUGAAGAACUACUCUUGUAUCCACAAUAUACUUGAUAUUUCACAUCUGGCUGCUUUCCAAAUGGCAGACUGGUUUUAAAACUCUCAGCAAAAUUCAGUUAAAUGUACCACUGUGUGUUGAUAUAAUAAUAAA